GACGAACGCUGGCGGCGUGCCUAAUACAUGCAAGUCGAACGCAGUGGGGACGGGUGAGUACCACGUGGGUAAUCUCUCAUCCGAGGGGAUAACACUUGGAAUCAGGUGCUAAACCGAUACUGAUGGAUGAACCCGCGGUGCAUUAGCUAGUUGGUGCGGUAACGGCUCACCAAGGCCACGAUGCAUAGCCGACCGGAGAGGGGGAUCGGCCACACUGGGACUGAGACACGGCCCAGACUCCUACGGGAGGCAGCAGUAGGGAAUCUUCGGCAAUGGACGAAAGUCUGACCGAGCAACGCCGCGGGAGUGAAGAAGGUUUUCGGAACGUAAAACUCUGGUGUUAGAGAGGCGGGAUCUAACCAGAAAGCCACGGCUAACUACGAGUCAGCAGCCGCGGUAAUAC
rnacentral:rRNA from 1 species